CGCGUAGGCGGCUCGUGAAGUCGGGUGUGAAAGCCCGGGGCUCAACCCCGGAACGGCAUCCGAUACUGGCGGGCUUGAGACCGGGAGAGGAGGGUGGAAUACCCAGUGUAGAGGUGAAAUUCGUAGAUAUUGGGUGGAACACCGGUGGCGAAAGCGGCUCUCUGGCCCGGAUCUGACGCUGAGGCGCGAAAGCGUGGGGAGGCAAAAACA
rnacentral:rRNA from 1 species